rnacentral:rRNA from 1 species
UACGUAGGGACCAAGCGUUGUUCGGAUUUACUGGGCGUAAAGGGCGCGUAGGCGGCCAGCGCAAGUCAGUUGUGAAAUCUCCGGGCUUAACUCGGAACGGUCAACUGAUACUGCGCGGCUAGAGUGCAGAAGGGGCAACUGGAAUUCUCGGUGUAGCGGUGAAAUGCGUAGAUAUCGAGAGGAACACCUGCGGCGAAGGCGGGUUGCUGGGCUGACACUGACGCUGAGGAGCGAAAGCGUGGGGAGCGAACAGG